GUGCCUUGAUGAGGGCACUUUCAUAGUAACUCCUUGAGCAGCUCCCAUGCCCCAUAUAAAGAUUCUUCAUCAAGUUGUUGAAAUGAAGUGAUUUCAUUUCGGAUCUU
rfam:Gossypium hirsutum cultivar TM-1 chromosome 11, whole genome shotgun sequence